ACCAGAGUGGCAGAUUUUAUGCAGUAGUUUUAAAGACUACCCAAGGUUCACCCUCAGGUA
rnacentral:tRNA from 1 species